rnacentral:SRP_RNA from 1 species
AGUCUGUCUUAGAUGAGCAUUUCGCCGCCAACCCCGCCAGGCCAGGAAUGGAGCAACGGUAGUGGAUUGGGAUGUUGUGUUUGAGUUCAGGCUGCU